GUCAGCUGAAGAGUGGCAGUGCCAUUUAGCCCUUCUGUGUUCCCCUGGGUGCUCAUCAGUGUACACAGCUCCCAAGCUGUUCGUGACUUUGAUCAAGUCUCCUAUUGUGGUGGAUGAUUAAAGGCGUGUGGACGUCAGGGGAAGAGCAGCCUGGGAGUGACAUUUGAAGGGCUCGAUUAGUCUUCUGUGUAGAUCAGGGAAGGAAGAGGGAAUACGGAAAGAGAAGAGACCAGUCUUCUAGGAACAUAGGUGGAGCACAUUUGGACAACCAGUUGUGAAACAUUCACCAGACCAACUCUGCUUACAGAGAUCUACAAAUACAAUAAGCACCUUCCCUUUCCUAAUCCUGGCACCUUAACCCUCAAGCAGAGUGGUCCGGGAUAGAGCAGCAAGGGAAAAAAGUAUCAGAGGCACUUGCUUUCUUCUGGCUGCCCUGUUGAACUACUGAAGAAGAGUUUCAAAAGAGAAGAAGAAGAAGAAGAAGAAGAAGAAGAAGAAGAAGAAGAAG